GACGAACCGUGCGAACGUUAUUCGGAAUCACUGGGCUUAAAGCGCGUGUAGGCGGAUGGGUACGUCGGUCGCUGAAAUCCCCCGGCUCAACCGGGGAGGGUCACGCGAUACUGAUCGACUCGAAGGCAGGAGAGGGUAGUGGAAUUCCCGGUGUAGUGGUGAAAUGCGUAGAUAUCGGGAGGAACACCAGUGGCGAAGGCGACUACCUGGCCUGUUUCUUGACGCUGAGGCGCGAAAGCUAGGGGAGCAAACGGG
rnacentral:rRNA from 1 species